UACGUAGGGCGCAAGCGUUAUCCGGAAUUAUUGGGCGUAAAGAGCUCGUAGGCGGUUUGUCGCGUCUGCCGUGAAAGUCCGGGGCUCAACUCCGGAUCUGCGGUGGGUACGGGCAGACUAGAGUGCAGUAGGGGAGACUGGAAUUCCUGGUGUAGCGGUGAAAUGCGCAGAUAUCAGGAGGAACACCGAUGGCGAAGGCAGGUCUCUGGGCUGUAACUGACGCUGAGGAGCGGAAGCAUGGGGAGCGAACAGG
rnacentral:rRNA from 1 species